ensembl:lncRNA
AUGCCAUGGUGUCAGUUCUGCGAUUGUUCUUUUGAAUCGUUGUCAGCAUUUUGCCAGCACAUGAAAAUCCAUAGUCAUGUUCCAAAUUCCGUUUUCAAAUGUGGUAUUCCUGAUUGCUCCAGAACAUUUAAAAAGUUCACUGCUUUCAAGGCUCACAUAUUCAGGGAUCACAAAGACAGGCCCUCAAAGACAUCUGUUGAGCAGUUAGGAAUUGAUGCUUUAGUGUGUGAUAUUGGUACAUGUCAAGAAAAGUGCAGUGAUUUGAAAAACUUCGUUUUACACUUGAAAAAUCAUAUCAAAGAAGGCACCAGAGUGCCAUGUCCAUUUACAUGUAAUAAACAAUUUUCUGUUGCAUCUACGUUGACUUCACAUUUAUCCAGAAAACAUCGAAACUCUUCAGCAGAAAGGCUGCGUCAUAGUGUACUGCAGUCAAAUGUUUCAGUACAGAUGCCGCAUGGUGAGGCAUCUAACAUGGCUGAACACUCACAUCCACAGUCUGAAUACUUUGAUUGUGGUGAUGGCAUAGAGCAGUUGGAGAAUGCACUUUUGCCAGAUAAUGCAGAUGAAUCUCUUUUUUUGAAAAAUAUGGCUCUGUUUUAUCUCAAGUUACAGGCAAAGCAUAUUCUCCCAUCAUCUGUGAUUCAGUCGGUAAUUGAGGGGAUGCAAGACAUCCAUGAUAUUAGCCAGUCUCAUUUGCUACUCAAGCUAGGGGAAAAAUUGAUUGCGCUUGGUAUUUCUGAAAAUGAUAUAAAGAGAGUUUUUGAUGUCUUACAAACUGAUGAUCUUUUUCGGAGGUCUAAUAUUAAUACACUUAGCACUGAUAAGAGAAGAAAGUCUUUUUAUAAAGACAAUUUUAAGUUUGUGGAUCCUGUCCCAGUCUGUCUUGGUCAAAAUGAAUCUGGCAAGGAAAGCUUUGCUCAAUACAUUCCUAUUAAGAAAAGCUUAGAAGCACUGUUCUGCUGUAAAUCAGUGAUAGAACAACAUAAUAAUUCACGAUCUGAAGUCAGAGCAAAAGAUAUCCUCUCUGAUGUAUGGGAUGGCAACAAUAUUGAUGAAAAUAUGCUGUUCAAAACUGAUAAAGAUUCAUUAGCUUUAAUCUUGUAUGAAGAUGCUUUUGAAGUUGCCAAUCCACUUGGUUCUGGAAGGAAAAAGCACAAAAUUCUUGCCGUUUACAUGACACUUGCAAACCUGCUGCCUCACUGUAGAUCAGGCAUUGACCCUAUGCAGCUAGUUCUGCUGUGUAGGGAACAAGAUUUUAGAUUUUUUGGACAAGAUUUGGUCUUUGCCACUCUGGUAAAAGACCUUAAAGACCUUGAGGAAAAUGGUGUUGAGUUAGCGGAUGGAAAGGUGCACAAAGGUACAUUGUGUGCCAUAGCUGGCGAUAACCUUGGAUCGCAUUACAUUGGUGGAUUUGUUGAGAAUUUUAGUAAAAGUAAAAACUUUUGCAGAUACUGUGAAAUUGACCGCCAGACAUUUAACUCAGCUCCCCUAACAAAGGCAUUAACAAGAACUGUGGAGUCGUAUGAGCAAAAUCUUAAGGAUUUGGAUGCUGAUCAAACUGAAAUUGCAAUUGGUGUCAAAUGUAAUUCUCCCUUUAAUGACCUGAAAUAUUUUCACGUUUGCCAGCCAGGAUUACCUCCCUGUCUUGGACACGAUCUUUUUGAAGGUGUUGUGUCAUUUGACCUUGCUUUGUAUAUCGAUCAUCUUGUGAAUCAGGAGAAACAGUUCACAUACACUGAACUAAAUCGUCGUAUUAACCAGUUAAAGUAUCUUGGGAAUGAUGCGCGUGAUAAACCAGUUGAGGUGACUCCUGGUACUAGGAAAUUAAGCGGACAUGCAGUUCAGAAUUGGUGCCUUCUCCGGCUUUUACCUCUUUUGGUUGGGGAAAAGAUUGUCAGUCCAACUGAAAAUGAGGUAUGGCAGUUAGUACUUCAACUCAGACAGAUAGCAGAGCUCAUCUGUGCUCCUUCCAUUAAUAUUGGUCAGAUUGCAUAUUUAUCAGUGCUAAUAGAGGAGUAUAUUGAGACUCGAAAGGUGGUUUUUCCAAAUCAUCCCCUUAAGCCAAAGCACCACUACCUGUGUCAUUAUCCUGAGCUCACUGGUCGUUUUGGUCCACUUAUUCGCCUGUGGACGCUACGCUUUGAAAGUAAGCACUCAUACUUUAAACAGUGUGCGAGAAAAUUGCACAAUUUCAAGAACCUGAGUGCUACAUUGGCAGAAAGACAUCAACUUCUGCAGGCUUACCUAAAUGCUGGAAGCCCUUUCCCUGAAAAUGUUGUGGCAGAGAGGGGAAUAGAGUUUCAUGUUAAUGACUACAAUGAUGACAUUCGAGGAUCUGUUGCUUGUCUUAACUUUCAGCCAGGGAAUACAGUAGCAUGUAAUGAAGUGACUGUAAAGGGAACACUUUAUAAAAAAAACAUGAAUGUUGUUUUGCAGAAGAAUGAUGAGGGAAUUGUAUUUGGGAACAUUCAGUUAAUUAUUGUACAUGACAAUUGCAAUGUGUAUUUUGUCACAAAGAAAAGUCAGUCUUUUUGUCUUCUAGACCAGGGAGUUCAUUGCUUGACACCACAAGAUCAAGGCUACCUAUGCAUAAAUCAAGACAGCCUACUGGAUUACUAUCCUCUGCCUGAAUAUUCAUUGUGUGGCUUGUCAGUAAUUGUUCUCCAUCAUUCCUUCCCAAUUUUAGAAUAA